GGGCGGGUGGUGGAAUGGCAGACACGAGGGACUUAAAAUCCCUUCCUCGCAAGGGGGUGAGGGUUCGACUCCCUCUCCGCCCACCA
rnacentral:tRNA from 4 species